rnacentral:misc_RNA from 1 species
UUUCCGUUGGUGAACCAGCGGAAGGAUCAUUACAGAGUUCAUGCCCUUCGGGGUGGACCCCCCACCCUGUUUAUAUACUAUUGUUGCUUUGGCAGGCUGCCCUCACCAUGCGGCGUCCGGGUUCCGCCCGCGUCUCCCCUGCCAAAACCCCCCUAAUUCUGUGUUCUGUGUCGUCUGAGUACUAUAUAAUAAGUUAAAACUUUCAACAACGGAUCUCUUGGUUCUG